GCCGAAGUGGUGAAACUGGUAGACACGCAGUCUUGAGGGGGCUGUGGGAGAAAUCUCGUAGGGGUUCGAGUCCCCUCUUCGGCACCA
rnacentral:tRNA from 1 species